UACGUAGGGUCCGAGCGUUGUCCGGAAUUACUGGGCGUAAAGAGCUCGUAGGCGGUUUGUCGCGUUGUUCGUGAAAACUCACAGCUUAACUGUGGGCGUGCGGGCGAUACGGGCAGACUUGAGUACUGCAGGGGAGACUGGAAUUCCUGGUGUAGCGGUGGAAUGCGCAGAUAUCAGGAGGAACACCGGUGGCGAAGGCGGGUCUCUGGGCAGUAACUGACGCUGAGACGCGAAAGCGUGGGGAGCAAACAGG
rnacentral:rRNA from 1 species